rnacentral:rRNA from 1 species
GGGGGGGCCGCCCCGGCCCGGGCCCAAGCCCCCCGGCCAGGGGCAUCACACAGGGCGACCACCCCGCCCAAGGAAAGAAAACCAACAACGCUUUGUAAAAAAAAUUCUCAGANUCCAGUUGUUUGGGAAUGCACCUCAANAUGGGUGGAAAAUGCCAUCUAAGGCUAAAUAUUGGGGAGAGACCGAUAGCGAACAAGUACAGUGAUGGAAAGAUGAAAAGAACUUUGAAAAGAGAGUUAAACAGUACGUGAAAUUGCCAAAAGGGAAGGGUAGGAGGUCNGAGAUGCGGCCUGGGAUUCAGCCUUGCUUUUGCUUGGUGUUUUUCCCAGAUUGCAGGCCAACNUCGGUUUUGGNCACUG